UUGGAUUAAUGAAGGGAAAUUUAAAUUUACCGCGCAAUGUAAUCGUUGCCGAGUAGCGCUGCAAAUAGGGGCAAUUUCUCGGCGCUGAGUGCGCCACGGCCACACAGAUGCUCCACGCGAUAGAUGCAACAGUCCAGAUAUUUAUAAGUUGCGCCCGACUUGGAUGUUUGCUCAGCCGAGCUGUUUUUAAUGCCAUUCAUAAUUUUGUGGGCUUUUGUGCGUUUCUCGACGUGUUUUGCUUCGUGUUGGCGCAACGAGCGCUGAUCAGCUGUUCGGGGCUGCUUGGUCAGCUGUUUGGUGAGCACCUUGACGGUGAGCGUAAUUAACGUUGAGUUUCCGGGCGAGUGCAGCCAGUUCGUCGUCCGCCUCGAAGACGCAGCGCAUGACAGGCACAUUGCAAUCCCUGACAGCGUCGACGAACACCUCCUUCAGAUGCAGCGGGAAGAGUGUGAUUGAUGCACAGGGAUUAAUGCGUUUUAUUACAGCGAUUUUGCCCCUCAGCCGUUUGCUCACUGUGCGCAAUUUACGCUCCUCGUAGCCGCCAUCCAUCAGGACAUACGCUCGAAUCUGGCACUCGGCCAGCACCUGGAAGAACUGCAACACAGCCCGAUAGAAAUCAUCGUAAUCGCCGCCAAAGGCGGAAUAAGUUCCUGUCACAUCUUUGUACAAAUUGCAUGCCAAAUUGUCGCCAUCAAUGACUAAAGCAGUGUUGUGAAGUUCGUACGGUUUCAGAUAGAUCUCCGCGCGUUGCGCUAUGUAACUGGUCAAGCCUCGGACACCCAUUUGUUGCUGUGCGGCUUUUUUUUUGUUUAUUUAUAUUUUGCGCAUGAAAAACGCGUGUUAAAGGCGAAACAGUGUUGUAGGCUGGACGGGUAUUAAGUGCUGCCCAUAAGCCCAAUUGUCACUGUUACAGCAACUGCGGCAAUUUGAAUGUCCAGCCUUCGAAUGCACCAGCAAUUUAUAAAGGCAACGAAAAUUCGAAUUGAGAAUACAAAUUUUUAAUAAUAACAAGGCAUUCAUAAAGCA